UCGGACGUGGUGUAUGGCACACACCCGCUUCAACUGACAGCUGUAUGGACCAGUGAAGGCGGGAGAUCCGGGUUCGAUUCCCGGCGUUCGAA